AUACGAAGGGUGCAAGUCGUUACUCGGAAUUACUGGGCGUAAAGCGUGCGUAGGUGGUUCGUUAAGUCUGUCGUGAAAGCCCCCGGGCUCAACCUGGGAAUGGCGAUGGAUACUGGCGGGCUAGAGUGCGGUAGAGGAGAGUGGAAUUCCCGGUGUAGCAGUGAAAUGCGUAGAGAUCGGGAGGAACAUCAGUUGCGAAGGCGGCUCUCUGGACCAGCACUGACACUGAGGCACGAAAGCGGUGGGGAGAC
rnacentral:rRNA from 1 species